GAUGAAGAACGUAGCGAAAUGCGAUAAGUAAUGUGAAUUGCAGAAUUCCGUGAAUCAUCGAAUCUUUGAACGCACAUUGCGCCCGCCAGCACUCUGGCGGGCAUGCCUGUCCGAGCGUCAUUUCAACCCUCAGGGCCCCUUCGGGGGACCUGGCGUUGGGGAUCGGCCCGCCCCCGUGCGGCGCCGUCCCCGAAAUAUAGUGGCGGUCUCGCUGCAGCCUCCCCUGCGUAGUAGCACACCUCGCACUGGAGAGCGGCGCGGCCACGCCGUGAAACCCCCAACUUCUGAAUGUUGACCUCGGAUCAGGUAGGAAUACCCGCUGAACUUAAGCAUAUCAAUAAGCGGAGGA
rnacentral:misc_RNA from 1 species